AUUGAACGCUGGCGGCAGGCCUAACACAUGCAAGUCGAGCGGAUGAAGGGAGCUUGCUCCUGGAUUCAGCGGCGGACGGGUGAGUAAUGCCUAGGAAUCUGCCUGGUAGUGGGGGAUAACGUCCGGAAACGGGCGCUAAUACUGCAUACGUCCUGAGGGAGAAAGUGGGGGAUCUUCGGACCUCACGCUAUCAGAUGAGCCUAGGUCGGAUUAGCUAGUUGGUGGGGUAAAGGCCUACCAAGGCGACGAUCCGUAACUGGUCUGAGAGGAUGAUCAGUCACACUGGAACGGAGACACGGUCCAGACUCCUACGGGAGGCAGCAGUGGGGAAUAUUGGACAAUGGGCGAAAGCCUGAUCCAGCCAUGCCGCGUGUGUGAAGAAGGUCUUCGGAUUGUAAAGCACUUUAAGUUGGGAGGAAGGGCAGUAAGUUAAUACCUUGCUGUUUUGACGUUACCAACAGAAUAAGCACCGGCUAACUUCGUG
rnacentral:rRNA from 1 species